UUACUAACACUGUAAACCCGAAUAGUCCAAUGAGCUCAAAAGUUUUAUAAUCACUGAACUCAAAAGUAACAAACAAGUUGAGUCAGCUUAAAACCUAUAAGCCGAUUCAACUUUUGCCACAGUUAUAUCUUUAUUGGACUGAAACAUUUUGAGUAAAUGAAACCUUGGAGUCAAAACUUAUGAGUAAUGAGACGUGAUGACGUCAUAACGUACGCCCAUGAACGUGAACUCAGCCACAGAAGUCUUCAAGAUGGCGGAGGUCUGAUGCGAGUGUCAGCUGGCCCAAGUUGAUACACAUACGUCUAGGUAAGUCGUAUUAUUUUAUUUUUUAUUAUAUUUUAUGACUUUCGCCUCUGUAUUAUAUAUUUGUUGCUUCUUUUGAUGUUCCUUCUAGUAUAUCCUUUGUAUUCAUGACGUGCUCCACGAGUUUGUAUGUAUCUUCGAAUAAUAUUUGUUCUGAAUUAAACAAUUAUGUAUGUUUUGCAGUAUCAUGUCAUCAGAGAAUUAUUGCUUGUGGUUAAAAGAAGUUGUUGGGGCAAAGUUUCAAGUUUUACGUUUACCGAGUUGGUUGGCGCACAUUUUAAAUUAUCUAACCGUUACUAGCUAACCGUUACUACUAGCUAACCGCUAGCUAGCUCUGGCAGAGCGGCUGCCACAGCCACAUAUACGACUCGGUGGGAAUUGCCUUUUUUUUCUACUACUUUUUACCACAGGCUCUGUGAUUUGGCAAUCGUUAUGUUUUUCUGUAACUUGUAUUUCACGUAGUAACCUAAUAAAUGCAAAUGUGGGCUAAGCUAGCUGCCUUACGCUAACUUGUUCUCGUAUCUUAUUUUUAGUGAACCGGCGGUGCGUUUGAAAAAUAAGAGCGGAGAUGUGAGCUGAGUUUCAUCGCAUCACAAAUGUCAACCUGCGAAAACCGUUUUAUUUUGACCUGGACAGACAGACGCCACGGAUGCUGAUCUUUUUGAGACAGAAGGCAGCACGAACCGGAAGGCUCUAUGCGACAUUCUGCACCUCUAUGAUAAACAGCAAGAACAGACUGCUGAUGUUAAUGGUACUCCUGUCCUGUACUGGCUUCCCAUAUACAAACGUGAGGAGGACCCACAGUUCUUCAAAGUUUGGAAUAUUAAAGCGUCACCAGAGCCAGACAUCAGCAGCUCCUCUGUUGGCAUUCUGACCGUCAGCAACAACAAUACAAGUUCAGUGCAUUUCUGUCCGCUCAGUACAGCAGUUGUGUUGGAAGAUGAGCUUGUGGUAGGCGACAUUCCCAAAUGGGUAUUUUUUUGAGCGCUAAUGUUUGUAGGGAAAGGGCAGCCUAAGAAAAUACAGUUUUAUGUGGGAAAAGUGUAAAAAAAAA